GAUGAACGCUGACAGCAUGCUUAACACAUGCAAGUCAACUUGAACUUCGGUUUGGGUGGCGGAUGGGCGAGUAACGCGUACAGAACUUGCACCAGAGCUAGGGACACCUUUUGGAAACGAAUGCUAAUACCAGAUAUUAUGAUUAUAUGGCAUAGUUUAAUUAUCACAGCUAUAUGCGGUGAGAGAGAGCUUUUCGUCCCCUUAGCUAGUUGGAGAGGUAACAGCUCACCAGGGCGAGGAUGGGUAGCCGGCCUGGGAGGGUGAUCGGCCACAAGGGGAUGGGGAAAGGGCCCGUACUCCAACGGGAGGCAGCAGUGGGAAAUUUUCGAAAAGGGACCGAGAGUCUGAUCCAGCAAUUCUGUGUGCAAGAUGAAGUUUUUCGGAAUGAAAAGUGCUUUCAGUUGGGGAGAAAAAAAUGACGGUACCGACUGAAGAAGUGACGGCUAAAUACGUG
rnacentral:rRNA from 1 species